rnacentral:rRNA from 1 species
GACGUAGGGCGCAAGCGUUGUCCGGAUUUAUUGGGCGUAAAGAGCUCGUAGGCGGCUUGUUACGUCGACUGUGAAAACCCGCGGCUCAACCGUGUGGCUUGCAGUCGAUACGGGCAGGCUAGAGUUCGGUAGGGGAGACUGGAAUUCCUGGUGUAGCGGUGAAAUGCGCAGAUAUCAGGAGGAACACCGGUGGCGAAGGCGGGUCUCUGGGCCGAUACUGACGCUGAGGAGCGAAGGCGUGGGGAGCGAACAGG